AGUUGCACGCUCUAGACCCGAAGCGGAGUGAUCUAGCCAUGGGCAGGUUGAAGCGGAGGUAAGACUUCGUGGAGGACCGAACCCACCAGGGUUGAAAACCUGGGGGAUGACCUGUGGUUAGGGGUGAAAGGCCAAUCAAACUCCGUGAUAGCUGGUUCUCCCCGAAAUGCAUUUAGGUGCAGCGUCGUGUGUUUCUUGCCGGAGGUAGAGCACUGGAUAGGCGAUGGGCCCUACCGGGUUACUGACCUUAGCCAAACUCCGAAUGCCGGUAAGUGAGAGCGCGGCAGUGAGACUGUGGGGGAUAAGCUCCAUGGUCGAGAGGGAAACAGCCCAGAGCAUCGACUAAGGCCCCUAAGCGUACGCUAAGUGGGAAAGGAUGUGGAGUCGCAGAGACAACCAGGAGGUUGGCUUAGAAGCAGCCACCCUUGAAAGAGUGCGUAAUAGCUCACUGGUCAAGUGAUUCCGCGCCGACAAUGUAGCGGGGCUCAAGCGUACCGCCGAAGUCGUGUCA
rnacentral:rRNA from 1 species